UGCAGACAGGAGCGCUAGCCUCGGUCCAUUUACCCAGAAACACGCAGAGGAAGAUGCUUUCUCUCAGUUCAAGUAGCCCGCGAGGAUUGAAACGGACCAAUCACAGCGAGCGCAGGCACCUCCGGCAAACAGAAGACCACCCAGGAGUGGAUCUCAGCAAAACUGAACUGUCCCAUCAGGCUGAGCCUGUUCAUGGGCCUGUUUGACAGAGCGAGGGGCACGACCUGGAGCAGCAGAUUGUCGAUGGCAGUCUGCACCUCAAGAGUGAGGCUGUAGCUGGCAUCGUCCUGGCAGAGGGUGAACUUGUCAUUGAUGCUGAACACGGGCACGG